rnacentral:rRNA from 1 species
UACGUAGGAGGCAAGCGUUGUCCGGAUUUAUUGGGCGUAAAGCGCGUGUAGGCGGCCAGAUAGGUCUGCUGUGAAAACUCGAGGCUCAACCUCGAGCUGUCGGCGGAAACCAUCUGGCUAGAGUCCGGAAGAGGAGAGUGGAAUUCCUGGUGUAGCGGUGAAAUGCGCAGAUAUCAGGAAGAACACCUAUGGCGAAGGCAGCUCUCUGGGACGGUACUGACGCUGAGACGCGAAAGCGUGGGGAGCGAACAGG